rnacentral:rRNA from 1 species
GUGCCAGCAGCCGCGGUAAGACAGAGGAGCCAAGCGUUGUCCGGAUUGACUGGGCGUAAAGCGCACGCAGGCGGCUUGGCGCGUGGGGUGUGAAAGGUAGCGGCUUAACUGCUACACGCCAUCCCAUACGGCCGAGCUCGAGCCAUGCAGAGGUCCACGGAAUUGCCGGUGUAGUGGUGAAAUGCGUAGAGAUCGGCAGGAACACCCAGGGGGAAACCAGUGGACUGGGCAUUGGCUGACGCUCAGGUGCGAAAGCGUGGGGAGCGAACCGGAUUAGAUACCCGGGUAGUCC